UUCGGCUGAGCAGUCGUCCCUUCAGUUUCAUCGGCGGCGAGCGGCUUGCUGCACCCGCGCUUUACGUCAUGGCUCCGCCUGUCACUUGUCGUCAGCGUCUGGACGCUGGCUGCCAGCAGAAGCUGUGCCUGGUUUAGAGGUGGAGCUCCAAGCUGAAAAUGUCUGGAUCAAAGGUGCAUCAUCCUGCCUCAUAGAACUGGAUUAGAAGUCCAUCUUUCACUUUCAGCAAAAAUUGCUCACAGACACCAGUGUGGAGGAGCCCAAGAGAGGCCUGUCUUUGGAGCACGUGGACAUGGGAUGCAUGAGCACUGCUAUUCAGAGUCCUCCCUGAAGCAACUCAAGGCCUCCAGGACUGGGAAAGAUGAGAACGAGGUGUGUAACUGGUGUUGACCCAGCCCUGGGGUAUCUGGAAUGAAGAACCUGCUCCCUGUGUGACCUCAGUCUCAGAGCAUUCAAGUAUUUGGGCCUGCUCACUGUGUGGAUGCUGUCAAGUGUACCUGUUUCUGUUCUCCCUCCACCGGCUGGACAGUGCACUCUCAAACCUAUAUCUUCAGGCUGAGAAUUCCCUAGUGCUCAGCCAGACAUCCUGGAAUCUACCUAGUCACCUCUCACUGGCAAAAAAGAUCUUCAGAGAAAGAGGCAAAAGAUUUGGAGUUCGUUGUGCUGAACAAAAACUAUCCCUUUAAAAACCUAUUUGCAGCCUUGCACAACGAUGAUGGAUUUAUCGUAUAAACCCAGGAUUAGUAAACAGCUUGUACCCUGUAAAGAGCCCAACAAGUCCUUGCUCAUCGGAGUACUUAAUUGCAGUGGUUAUAUCAAAGCCACGUAAAACUUAAUCGCCAGCCACAAGCCGGCCUCUGUGCUUUAUAUAGGUGCCUCUGCCAUUGUUUUUCCACCUGCUAAAAUGAAAGAUUCUUGGAAUAUCAGAGUAUGUAAAAUGUAUUUAUGAUGCAAAUAUAGAGAUGCCCUUUCAUCUCCUCAAGCUUUGAUGUUGUGAUAUGAAGCUUCUGGUGUCCCUCCUUCCAGAUCAUCCCAAGAUGCUGUCUGG
ensembl:lncRNA